GCUUCCAUGAUGGCGGCGUGCGUCCGUGCGUAUUGCUGCAGUUUGAUGUACAAGUGAGAGACAUGGACGGCAGUAUAGUUUCAGGGUUCGUUAUGAAGAUGUUUGACAAGUUGCUAAGUUGAGAAGUUGUUUGAGAAAUCGCUACCAAUGGCCGAGUCCAGAACAACACUGGGAUCAGUCAAUGAAGGAUUUGCCAAGUUACAGCAGCCUCCUAUCCAUCACAAGUUUUUGGCCUGAACGCAG